CUUUGGUUCUAUUUUGUUGGCUUCUAGGACCGAAGUAAUGAUUAAUAGGGAUAGUUGGGGACGUUAGUAUUUAGUUGUCAGAGGUGAAAUUCUUAGAUUUACGAAAGACUAACUUCUGCGAAAGCAUUCGUCAAGGAUGUUUUCAUUAAUCAAGAACGAAAGUUGGGGGAUCGAAGACGAUCAGAUACCGUCGUAGUCUCAACCAUAAACUAUGCCGACUAGGGAUCGGACGGGAUUAUAUAUAUUGACCCGUUCGGCACCUUAUGAGAAAUCAGAAGUUUUUGGGUUCCGGGGGGAGUAUGGUCGCAAGGCUGAAACUUAAAGGAAUUGACGGAAGGGCACCACCAGGAGUGGAGCCUGCGGCUUAAUUUGACUCAACACGGGGAAACU
rnacentral:rRNA from 1 species